UGGCCCAGCGGUGAAGACUGGUGGCGAGUGAGUCGUGGACGAUGAAGAUACAUGCUGGAAACUGAGGUCCAG